GUUUAGAAUAGUUUUUUUCAGUUUAUUUCAUUUGAACAUACGAAUAAAGUUGCCAACUAACUUUCAUGCUUGUACAUUCGCACAAUAAGAUUUGAAAUCAGAGGCUUUGCGUUUUCGGUACAUUUCUCGUAUAUACAAGAUUGUUCAAUAAAUUGAACAAUGCACCAAAUCUGUUCUCAUAUCUAUUAUAUAGUUUCUAAAUCACCCGGUUUUUCGUCAUAAACUAAUUAGAAAGUAUGGAAAUUUUGAUUAUUUUGCCUUAUUUUAUGAAAAUCUCGAUUAUCCGUCUUUUUCGAUUAUUAUAAUGUCGUGCAUGGCAUCUAAGGUUGAUCACAUACAACAAAUCUUGAUAUACCAUUAUCGACUGCAAUAGUGCUGUUAUAUUGCUGUAAGUUAAAUGUCAAAUAAGCAAUAUUGUUUUGUGUGUGGCUUACGAAAAUAUUUCAGAACGUACAUUACUACGUCGUACACAAGCAGUUUGAAAAACUAAAUAACAAAAUUAUCAGCAGCAACAACCGUUUUACGAAGAGUAAAAAGUGACAGUAAUAUUACAUUUUUUCAUCCGGAAGUAUUGUUUAAUACUCAACGUCUUUAUUCAUUCGGUCGAUUAAUAUGCCUCGUUGUGAACUUCCAUAUGUGUAUAAGCCUGUUUGUGGCACAGAUGGUGUAAAAUAUGUAAAUAUUGUGGAUCCGGAAUGCACUCAAAAAAAAAAGAAUAUGGGAAACUUGUGAACUUACAACUGAAACAUAAGGGCGCUUGCUGGAUAUGGAAAAAAUACGGAUUCGAAACACACACACAGUUCUUUUUUUUGUGGUGGUAAUUCCGGAAACGGUUUAGUAUUUGUGAAUGCAGCAAAUGAAGCUUCUCUAAUCGGAGUAUAGGACAAGUACAUUGUAUAGGAACUAGGCCGUCGACUUACGCGUCUGUACCAGCGUACCGCGAAUGGAUCAAAUCAGUUGU